rnacentral:misc_RNA from 1 species
GAUGAAGAACGCAGCGAAAUGCGAUAAGUAAUGUGAAUUGCAGAAUUCAGUGAAUCAUCGAUUCUUUGAACGCACAUUGCGCCCGCCAGUAUUCUGGCGGGCAUGCCUGUUCGAGCGUCAUUUCAACCCUCAAGCACAGCUUGGUGUUGGGACUCGCGUUAAUUCGCGUUCCCCAAAUUGAUUGGCGGUCACGUCGAGCUUCCAUAGCGUAGUAGUAAAACCCUCGUUACUGGUAAUCGUCGCGGCCACGCCGUUAAACCCCAACUUCUGAAUGUUGACCUCGGAUCAGGUAGGAAUACCCGCUGAACUUAAGCAUAUCAAUAAGCGGAGGA